GCCGGAGCCCAACCGUCUCCAGGCUUGCACAGAGCCUGGGCUGGGCCCAGCUGUCCCACUCAGCCAUGCGCCUCUGCUGCCUCUCUCCCCAGUUGUGCUUCUGCUUCACGAGAGCUGCAGUGUUCCAGCACAACUGCCAGGAGAACCAACGCCUCCCCGUGCUGGGGAAGCUGGCCGGACACCUCAUCCUGUGCUGCAGCUCCACGGACGAGAGGACCAGAGAUGAGGCGAUGAAGGCUAUCCAUCAGCUUUUCACCUUCAUCACCGCCCCAGGUGAGAGGAGUUGUGUUGGGUUAGGUCCCCCCAGACCUCCAGAUGCCCAGGCCCCUCACUGACAUUGCGUGCGCUCCUCUCCAGGAUUGUUGCCGAAGCAGAAGGAGCCCAAGAUGCCACAGCCCUGGGACAGCCAGCAAACUCUGCUCCCCCAGGAGGUUUCCCAUGAGGACAGAGCCAGAAAUGUCUUUGAGGUAUGAGGAACAAACCCUGAGCCCACAGGAGAACCCAAGCCUGCAGAGUCAGGAAGAGUGCAGGAGCUGUCCCCGAGAUGCCCUGGUGCACGUAGGGCCCUCACGCCCCGUAUCCCCAGUGUCACCCAGCCCCUGCUCCCAGUUCUCCUGAGGCAGCAGCAUGGCCGAGCAGCCACGCAGGUGAUGAGUCAUCCCUCUUCUCCUUCCUCCUACAGGUGCUUCGGAAAUGCCUCCUGUACCCCGAAACGGUCAAUAUCUUACUCACAGCCAUUGAGAGUAUGACAGCGCCGGGCCUCCACAGCACCCAGCUGGCUGCCCACAUGGUGGAUGUCCUCACAGCAAAGGCUCGCUUCCCUCCACGGGAGGUGGGAACCUGCUGCUGCCAAGGCUCCAGCCCUCGGGGCUCUGCUCCAGCCCUGGCACUGGCAUCACGCUUGGCCGGCAGGCAGCAGCUGGGUUGGCAGCAGGGCUCUGCUCUGCUGCCAUCCCAUUCUCACCCGUGUCCCCCUCCAGGUGCGAAAGAUCGUGAACGUGAUCUACAGCAGCCUGCCUUCCAUCAAAGCCCAGCUGGCUCUCAAAAGCCUGGGCAGGGCCCUGCUCGUGCUGGUCAGCAAAUUCCCAAGGGAGAUGGUUACCAGCCUGCUGGUCUGCUCCCCCACCUGCACCAGGGUCGCUGUCACCAUGUGGAGGGAAAUGCUCUCGGAGCCCCCGGCCGUGGAGAAGGUGCUGCAGCAGCUGCUCCCAGUGCUCAGAAACCAUUCUCUGCACCACACGUCCCCUUUCAUCAAGGACUGGCCACGUGUCCUCGCCCUGGCCGUGAGUUCCUCACUCACCCCGCUGAGCCUGAGUCCCCA
ensembl:lncRNA